rnacentral:rRNA from 1 species
CCUACGGGAGGCAGCAGUGGGGAAUAUUGGGCAAUGGGCGCAAGCCUGACCCAGCAACGCCGCGUGAAGGAAGAAGGCCCUCGGGUUGUAAACUUCUUUUGUCAGGGACGAAACAAAUGACGGUACCUGACGAAUAAGCCACGGCUAACUACGUGCCUGCAGUCGCGGCAAUACGUAGGUGGCAAGCGUUAUCCGGAUUUACUGGGUGUAAAGGGCGUGUAGGCGGGAGAGCAAGUCAGAUGUGAAAUUCCAGGGCUCAACCCUGGAACUGCAUUUGAAACUGUUUUUCUUGAGUGAAGGAGAGGCAGGUGGAAUUCGGUGUGUAGCGGUGAAAUGCGUAGAUAUACGGAAGAACACCGGUGGCGAAGGCGGCCUGCUGGACAUUAACUGACGCUGAGGCGCGAAAGCGUGGGGAGCAAACAGGAUUAGAUACCCCAGUAGUC